rnacentral:rRNA from 1 species
GCCAAGGAUGUUUUCAUUAAUCAGGAACGAAAGUUAGGGGAUCGAAGACGAUCAGAUACCGUCGUAGUCUUAACCAUAAACUAUGCCGACUAGGGAUCAGGCGAGCACAAUUGAAACUCGCUUGGCACCCCGAGGGAAACCAAAGUUUUUGGGUUCUGGGGGGAGUAUGGUCGCAAGGCUGAAACUUAAAGGAAUUGACGGAAGGGCACCACCAGGAGUGGAGCCUGCG